rnacentral:rRNA from 1 species
AGGACGAACGCUGGCGGCGUGCUUAACACAUGCAAGUCGAACGGUGAAGGAGAGCUUGCUCUCUGGAUCAGUGGCGAACGGGUGAGUAACACGUGAGUAACCUGCCCUUGACUCUGGGAUAAGCGUUGGAAACGACGUCUAAUACCGGAUACGAGCUUCAGUCGCAUGGCUAGGAGCUGGAAAGAAUUUCGGUCAAGGAUGGACUCGCGGCCUAUCAGCUAGUUGGUGAGGUAAUGGCUCACCAAGGCGACGACGGGUAGCCGGCCUGAGAGGGUGACCGGCCACACUGGGACUGAGACACGGCCCAGACUCCUACGGGAGGCAGCAGUGGGAAUAUGGCACAAUGGGCGCAAGCCUGAUGCAGCAACGCCGCGGUGGGGACGUAACGGCCGUUCGGUGUAAACCGUCGUUUA